UUAUUUCAUGAUGAAUGCAUGAGGGUACUUAGUGUUGGUCAAACUCUGAUUUAAAGAAUCUGAAAUACAUUUGCAUCGACAUAAUAGGCUAUAAAAGUAUAAUUUUCUUUUGAUGACAUGGACAAUCAUUCUUAUAAUGGGGCCAUACAGCAUAGAGACGAUUAAUAACUGUCAUUUAGCAUUUUUCGCUUGUGUUGUCAUAUGGCUUCAGUCCAGCUCCAGUGCUCUGAUCUCAAAUUGGGCAUUGAGCUAAACAGUUCUUCUGAGAGGCGGUCCAGGCAGUCUGAUAGGCCAGUACCCUCUCUUUGUCCAAACUAUUUCAAUCGCAUUGAAAUCCCAUUUCAAAUAGAUACUGGUGAGGUCAAUGAACCUGAACUUAGUGUACCAAUAUAAUACAACUAUUGUCAAAGGUAUUUUUGAGACCAGCAGUGCAAAUUCCUCAUCCAGUUGCGCAACAGGACAUUUUUGUGGAAAAUAAUGUCGAGGAGGAAAGUGCGGAAUCAACGCCCCGCCGAGAGCGAGGAGGACUCCGAUAUCGACAACCUGUUAGCCGCUCUGACACUCGCCGAGGUGGAAGAGCUGCAGAGCGAACUGACCGUUAUUGACCCGGAUCCAACUGUGCCAGUCGGACUCCGGCAGAAGAACCAGACAGACAAGCAGCCGUCAAUAAAAUACAAUAGGGGGGCAAUGCUUGACUACUGUGAGCGCGAAACCAAGAAACUCAUUCAAAGGGAGCUGUCCUUUGAGGAGCCAACAACUGACAGAGUGAAACGGGAACGCCUGAAGAAGAUGGGGAAGAGCUGUGAUAGUUUCUUCUACUUCAAGUCAGAUGACCAGGAUGACCAGGAUGUCAUGGACCUAAACUUCUCUGCUGUGGAGACCUCUAAGGAGGACAUAUCCAAGGACGAAGAGGAAAAACCUCAGAGCAAGAACUUGAAGGGUGAGGGAGGGAGUGGAGAGGGAAAUGAGGAAAGGCCACAUAGUAGGUUAGGGGGAGAUGAGGACAAAGACCAUGAAAAAAAGGAAGAUAAGAUUGUUGAAAAAAGCAAUGAAGUACAGGUUGAAGAAAAUGAGAAAAAGGAGGAGUGCAUACACAAGGAGAAGGGUAGUAACAAAACACUUGAUCUUAUCUCAAAAUUACAAACAAAAAAAGAAGAUACAAAAGAAAAGGAGCAAAAAGAUAUCAGAAAAAAGACCGUCUCUAAAACCAAGGAUCUGAUUUCAAAGCUUCAAGGGCAUGCUGAUAAAGACGAUACUAAGGAGAAAGAGAAGAAAGAAAAACCUAAAAAAAUGAAGGAUAGCAAGAUCACAAGAGGAAUUUUCUCUAAAGUAGAGGAAAAGCAGAAAGAACUCAGGGGUACUGAGGUGAAGGAAAAGAGGAAUAAUGAGAAGGACAAAGAUAGCGAAAACACGAAAUCACACAGGAAACCAAGUAGAGUCCAGGAUGAGACACAGAUAGACAGUGAAAAGAAGACAGAAAGGACUCCUAAUAAAAACAGUAAAGCCAGCAAUGUAAACCUAGAGAACAGUAGUAGGGAAGAACGCUCAGCUGGUGAAGUCAUGGAGGGAGGCGAGGAGAACGAGGAGGCCAGCAUGUUUGAUGAGCUCCUGGAGCAUGUCAGAAAAGACGACCCUUUAAUGACUGAGCUCAAUGUCAACAACUCAGACGUCAUCAAGACCCACACCCUCAUCCAGUUUGCAGAGGCACUACAACACAACACACAUGUCAAGACGUUUGCUUUAGCCAACACCCGAGCUGACGACCAUGUGGCUUAUGCCAUUGCUGGCACUCUGCGGAACAACACGUCUCUGACCAACGUCAUCCUUGACUCCAACCACCUCACUGGCAAGGGAAUUUUGGCCGUGGUACACGCCUUAGAGAAAAAUGUAACCAUCACUGAACUGCGCUUCCACAACCAGCGACACAUCUGUGGAGGCAAGACAGAGAUGGAGAUGGCCAAUGUAUUGAGAAACAACACCAGGUUGCUGAAGCUGGGCUACGGCUUUGAACUGGCCGGCCCAAGGAUGACCAUGACCAACAUUUUGAGUCGGAACAUGGACCUGCAGAGGCAACGUCGACUGGAGGAGAAGAAACAAGCACAAGCCCAGCCAUCCCAGCAGCCUCAGCCAUACCAGCCAACACGUCAGACACCACAACCACAGACCAACACAAAAAAGAACACAUUGCCUUUGGGGAAGUUUUCUUGCGAACCUUCAACUCAAUCCCAAUCCAAGUCUGUUGGUGAGACUAAGAGGACAGGAAACCUCCUGAAAACAUCUCCCUUUAUGUCUCCCCCUAACCCCUCACCUGAACCCUUCCACAAGGGGAGCUCCAAAGCUGUGGGUAAGCUAAACCCUAAGGCUUGGGGUAGUAGGUCUGGACCAGGGUCUACAACACCUCCACCUCAGGCUGGGGAUGGUGUAUCUGGUCCUGGAUCUACACCACCUCCACCUCAGGCUCUUAAGGCUGGCCGAUCUGGACCAGCUCCACCUCCUCCCCCUGCCCCAGUGUUGGAGGGCCUAAGGAAAGCCCUCAUGCCUGCCUCACAGAGAAAACUCAACGGGCAGACUUCACGCCACGGAGAGAGGAACACUAGGGACCAGUUGCUGGACUCCAUUCGCAACAGCACAAUGAAAGCUCUAAAAAAGGUUGAUGUUCCAAAGCUGCUUCAAUAAAGGUGGGGAUGACAGCAAGAAGAGGUUGGACUUGAUACAAAAACAGAACAGCAUUUGUUUUACAGUAGUAGACCGGGGUGAAGCCCUGCCUCUGUUGUUGCUGCUGAGAUAUGGAGAGAUAUCUGAUCCAGUUGGUACUUCGAGCCAGAAGGUGGUUAUGGUGGUUUGUAAUCAUACAAAGUGAAAGCAUCUUAGGCUACAUUGCCUGCUGACUUCAGUCUCCCUCAGUUGAACCUCUCCCUCCUGUUCUCCCGAGAUGCCCAUAUUUGGUCAUUGCAUUGAAGAUACAGUAUGACGUAAGAUAAAAACAGCCCUGAGCCACUGCAAAUGAUGCUGGUCAAUGGAGACUGAUACGGUGACAGUAGGGGCAUUCGGGAGAAAAGUGGGUCUGUCCUCACAUGUAGAGUAUCUGUGGUGAAAUUAUUUUACAACUGAAAACAUGAAAAUCUAUCUGAAGUUUCUCCUUUACUUGCCAGUUCUAUGCUGUGAUGCAAAAUUGAGCAAAUUUGGAGCGCACGGAUAUGAAGGUGGAGCUUUAGACAUUGAGUGUUCAUAUCCAGAUGGAUAUCAAUAUAAACCCAAAUACUUGUGUCGCCAUCCCUGUUCCAACAGUGACAUUCUCAUCAGAAGUGUGAAGGGUGAAGCAUUUGUCCCAGUAGGAAGAUUUUCCGUGUAUGACAAUGUCCAUGGAUGUAAUUUCAUUGUCAGCAUCCAAAACCUGGAAUUACAGGACUCUGGACAUUAUUAUUGUGGACUUGAUAAGUGGGGAAGAGAUGUUUUAACAAAAGUAGAGAUCUCUGUGAGUAAAGCUCCAUUGGUCACUUCACUGUCUACACCUGCCCCUGUGAUUGACAGGAAGGACACCACUGAAACUAACAAAUAUGUUUCCUCAGAGGUCCCCACCUUUACACAGGUGCCAUACAAAAAGUUACCUGUUGCAGAUUGGGAUGUCACACCUCCAACAACCUCAACUAUUCGGAUUGGUAGCCCAGGUAAUUGAACAUUCGGAGUGUCUGCGGAUCCGACUUCUCUGGACCCCUCUUCCUGAACUUUAGGCUACUCUGUUUUGUUCCAAACACACAAUGGAAAACAUGGGUUUGAUUGAGAUUUUGUUGAAUUAUUCUCACUGUAAUUUAGGCUUUGUACGUGUCCACGUUGUUGUGGGAGCUGUCCUUGGACUAUUGAUGUGUUGCACUGUGGUUGCACUUGGUCUACUCCUCAGAAAACAAUCAAUGUCACGCUCACUGACAUUUCCAUCAUCUGAAUCAGAGCCUGUAGAUAUUGCACAGGAUGAAGAGGACACUUGUCAUGUGUAUGAUGAGAUAAUUAUGUACAGCUCCAACAGUGACUUGUACUGCACCAUUAGGUUUUGUGAAACCCCACCGGAAAUAGAAGACAAUGCUCUCUACUCCCUCCUGACACUAAAUGAACAAAGACCUCAGUGAGGGUCACAAGUCUCUAAUCAACAGAGGGCAUUCGCACAACACUGCCAAAACAUUGAUGGUGGAUGUGCAGUAUCAUUAUUGCUAUUAUGUGUGUGUGUGUGUGUGUGUGUGUGUGUGUGUGUGGGGGUUUACAGUUGAAGAUUGUCAGAUGUUUGUACUGUUACCCUGCAUCUGUUUCCUCUGAUACAGUGCCUAGUGAAAAUAAAAAAUAUGGAA